UUGACCUCGGAUCAGGUAGGAAUACCCGCUGAACUUAAGCAUAUCAAUAAGCGGAGG
rnacentral:rRNA from 24 species